UGGAGCUAUUGUAUUUCACC
rnacentral:miRNA from 1 species